rnacentral:rRNA from 1 species
GACAGCAGCCGCCACGGGAAUACGUAGGGUGCAAGCGUUAAUCGGAAUUACUGGGCGUAAAGCGUGCGCAGGCGGUUAUAUAAGACAGAUGUGAAAUCCCCGGGCUCAACCUGGGAACUGCAUUUGUGACUGUAUAGCUAGAGUACGGCAGAGGGGGAUGGAAUUCCGCGUGUAGCAGUGAAAUGCGUAGAUAUGCGGAGGAACACCGAUGGCGAAGGCAAUCCCCUGGGCCUGUACUGACGCUCAUGCACGAAAGCGUGGGGAGCAAACAGGAUUAGAUACCCCAGUAGUCCCUGUCUCUUAUAC